rnacentral:lncRNA from 1 species
AACUGUUAUGAUACACGGUAGUGGCAUUUGGCCCAUUUCAAGGGGUUAAGGGGCACAGGAGAUUGUCAUACAGUUUUCUGAAGUUAACAACCGUUAUGACCUGUCCACCAUUAUCUACCCAACCCAAGGCCUAGGAGAGUUCAGUGGGAGUUUACGAAGGCUUUGAAACACGUUUGUAUGGUGAGAGGAAAACUAGCAGUGAACAACAGCCAAAGGAUUGUAAAAUGGAAGGAAGACUUGGGAAGGAGAAAAUCUAACAGGGAAGGAGGGAGAAGGGAAGAUGGCUUCGGGGCCACAAAGGCAUGAGCGAAAACCGCACCAGACACUGUACAGAAUCCUGCUCCUGGGAAGCGCAAACACAAGCCAAGGACUGUAAAUGACCCAACUUUCUGCUCUUCAGAAAAAACAAGAAUAUGGACGUCUUUUUAAAUUCAACAAAUCAUUUUUGGUUAAUAUUUAAAGUUCAGUUAACUUCACAGGAAUGUUCAAAGAUAGUUGACAAUUAGCCUCUGAGAUUAACAUGUCAACAGUGUUUGCCUGGAUUUAGCUUUAGUGUCGAGAGAGAUACUGACGAGUUCACGGUUUUCUAUUUGGUAAGCUUUAUUUUUUCCGAUGUGGGGAAAAAAAAGAAAAAUAGGUGACACCGUGCUAUUCCCACACAAACUGGCACUGCACGCGUGGCAUCGGUUGUCGGGUCUCCCACACCCGUACUGCACAUGUCCAUACUGCAUGUGCCCAAGCUGUUUCCCUAGUGGCCUCACCAGGGAUCUCCAGCCUCCGUUACCUGGCUAUCUGUGA